AGAGUAGAAUGAUUGUAAAUUUUUACAUAUGAUAAUGGUAUGAUAGCUAAGGUUUUUAUUUUUAGAGAUGCUUGCAGAAAUAUUCAUGGAUGCGGCCAAGUGCGGUGGCUCAUGCCUGUAAUCCCAGCACUUUGGGAGGCUGAGGUGGGCGGAUUACGAGGUCAGGAGAACCAGACCAUCCUGGCUAACAUGGUGAAACCCGGUCUCUACUAAAAAUAAAAAAUAAAAAUAAAUUUUAAAAAAAUAACAGGGCAUGGUGGCGGGCGCCUGUAGUCCCAGCUACUCGGGAGGCUGAGGCAGGAGAAUGACGUGAACCUGGGAGGUGGAGCUUGCAGUGAGCGAAGAUCGUGCCACUGCACUCCAGCCUGGGCAACAGAGUGAGACUCUGUGAAAGACAGAGAGAAAGAAGGAAGGAAGGAAGGAAGGAAGGAAGGAAGGAAGGAAGGAAGGAAGGUAGGAAGGAAGGAAGGAGGGAGGGAGGGAGGGAGGGAGGGAGGGAAGGAAGGAAGGAAAGGAAGGAAGGAAAGGAGGGAGGGAGGCAGGGAGGGAGGGAAGGAAGGAAAAGAAAGAAAGAAAUAUUCAUACGAUGUCUAGGAUUUGCCUCCAUAAAACCCAAUGAGGUUGGGGGUUGGGAAACAAAAGAAAAUAUGGAUGAGGAUGAAACGAGAUUGGCUUAGAGUUGGUAGGUGUUGAAGUUGAGCAGUGAGCGCCUGAGGACUUCUUAGGCUAUGUCUCUACUUCUGUGUAUGUUUCAAAAUUUCCCAAACGAAACAUUUUCUAAAUUGUCCAGUGUAGAAGGCUCAAGCCUUCGGCAUCUUCCCCCAUCCCCACCGAAGUCCCCAGUCCUCCCCUGGUAACAUUCUGGGCAGCUUUCCUCCUUGCUUCCCCAGCACCUCCUGGGCUAUUUCAGACUCCGUGCCAGCGGAGCACCACACUGCCUCAGCCCCCGCAGUUGGCACUUGGACAAAAAUCUUUUCCUGACCCCAGAUGGCAUUGCAGCUUCCUCAGUCCGAUCCUGUAAGCAUAUUUUUUUCCAGGCACCUGAUUCCUGGAUGUGGCAGCAAUAAAACCAACCGAGAUUGUUUGACUGGCCCCCUCUGGAGCAGGUAUUUCCCAUUCCGAUGCCGUCAGCCAUCUGAGCGUGCUGCUUCCAAGAGCUCGGAAAUAACAGCCGGGAGACCCGGUGCAUCGCCCACAAGACGCCGGCUCAUUUAUCUUCUUGUGGUUGUAUUUUCUUAUGGGAAGGACAUUUCAAGGGAUAUUUACAAGUGCAGUUUCCAGGAACCUGCUGAUGACGAUGAUGACGGUAAGUGAGGACUUACUGUAUACAUGUUUGAAGUUUAUGUAGCUCCUGGAAUCUCCUAGCAUACCAUCAGUGAUACAAUAUAUCACGUCUGGUAAUUGUUGAAUAGUCUCCAAAGUCCCUUCCAGUUCCAAAGAAUCUGUAUUUUCAUGAAAUAAGCUUUGAAUGAUAUCGCCAAGGCCCCAAAGAAAUCAAGCAGGAGGACUAGAGGAACAUCGAGCGAUGGACUCCAAGAUGUAUAAUAGAUGUCCUUUGCUUCUCCGGUCCACCCUUUUUGUUUGUUUCCUAGAAACUCUGUGCAGAGAAGGCUCCAGAUUGCUGAAAGCACAGUCUAAGACAUCCAAAGAUCACACUUGCAGUUCCAAAAUAGAUUUAUAAACAGUCCAUCCAAACUAAAUGUAAAACCAUAACCAAAACAGGUGAGGAAAUCUGGAGAGCUCAAUUUGGUUAAUAUGUGGGUUUGGCGGCAACAUUCAUCACUACCAGAUUACACACCACUGCGUGUUCUCCCUACCACCUAAUGGUACUAAUCCUGGACUCUAUUUGAUGUUGAUAUUCAACUAAUUAAGAGUUUAUAUUUUACUCUUCCUUCAUGGAGCAGAAAUGUCAUCCUUACCUUCAGAGGGGUGCUCCGUGGGCCUUUC
ensembl:lncRNA